rnacentral:rRNA from 1 species
AGCAGCGCCGCGGGAAUACAGAGGGUGCGAGCGUUAAUCGGAUUUACUGGGCGUAAAGCGUGCGUAGGCGGCUUUUUAAGUCGGAUGUGAAAUCCCUGAGCUUAACUUAGGAAUUGCAUUCGAUACUGGGAAGCUAGAGUAUGGGAGAGGAUGGUAGAAUUCCAGGUGUAGCGGUGAAAUGCGUAGAGAUCUGGAGGAAUACCGAUGGCGAAGGCAGCCAUCUGGCCUAAUACUGACGCUGAGGUACGAAAGCAUGGGGAGCAAACAGGAUUAGAUACCCGCGUAGUCCCUGUCUCUUAUACA